GUACGAGAUCAGGUCAGAUCAUGUCUGUCCCUUGUCCGACUCUAAAUAUUGGUCGGAUCUAAUUUUUGAGUCCAAACUCGAUACUAGACCCGAUCUUUUUUGGACCCAAUUGUCGGACCAAAUUGAGUGAGCAAUAAGUAAGGUCGGAUCCUAAUCACCCAUGCUGCUUAGACCUGUUCUUGUAAUAUCAUUAUGAUAGAUAUUUACUCAAUCCUAAUCAUAUAAUUCAUGGGAUUCUUGAUCACAUCCUUCGAUGUCGACCUGGAUCAUGGCCAGAAGACUAAAUUGUAAGUGAAUGCAAUGUGUAAAACCUAACACCGACGCAAAUUUCAACGACAACUUGCACAGAAGUUAGCUAGGUUGGAU